rnacentral:rRNA from 1 species
AAUACGUAGGGUGCGAGCGUUGUCCGGAAUUACUGGGCGUAAAGGGCUCGUAGGUGGUUUGUCGCGUCGUCUGUGAAAUUCCGGGGCUUAACUCCGGGCGUGCAGGCGAUACGGGCAUAACUUGAGUACUGUAGGGGUAACUGGAAUUCCUGGUGUAGCGGUGAAAUGCGCAGAUAUCAGGAGGACACCGAUGGCGAAGGCAGGUUACUGGGCAGUUACUGACGCUGAGGAGCGAAAGCAUGGGUAGCGAA